ensembl:lncRNA
GGCGACACUUGUCUCCAAAAGCUGUCGUAAUAAAUGGAAUAUGCGGUAUGGUAAUUGACUUGACUCCUGGUGUGUUAUUCUCCUUUCCAACAAACCAACUCGGUGCCAUCGAUUGACACAGGGUGAGGUCACUGGGAAACAACAGCGCGGCCAACACUCAAACUGCCUGUCUUGUUCAGUUCCAAAGAUGUGUUGUUGAGCUGGGGGAUGCUGUUGCCUGGGUAAAUGCCAACAUGGGCCUCUUCUGAGUCCUCACCCCUGAAUGAUGAGGAAAUACAGGGUGCUCUGCAGAUGCUCAGAGAGGCCUCAACUCUAGAGGAAGAACAAGAAGCUCUCUCCCCAUUCAUGUUUUUGUUUACCGUAAUAAUUUUGAAGACACUGAAACAUUCAUGAACGAAACAGACAAAAGAGGACUUAGUGAUAAUUUUGAGCUUCUCUGUUAAUUAUUUUUGUUUAUGAGGUUACCUAUUAGCUGUAUUUAAACCAUCAUCUAAUGCUGGUUACCACACAACAAAAAUUUUAAGAUUCCAGAAAACACAAUACAAUUUGACGAGACAAAGAGACAAGGAACAUCAUUUAUUUAGCAAGAGUUAACUGUACAGUGUUUUGGAAGUGUUCACCUGGCCAUACAACAUGAUAGGAUGAAUCCAAAGCAUACAGAAUCUGGGCAAAGCUGAAUACACAGUACAUAAAGAAACAGUUUAGUUUUGACAGUGUUGGAAUGUAAUGUUUUGAAUAUUUAAUGGGGUAAUUAAAUGUUUAAUUGGCAUAUCAUUUAAUUUUGUAUUUUUAGGUUAUGCCAUUAACUUUAAGAUUUUGGGCUAUAUUAAUUGACUUUCAAUAAUGUAUGUUGUGCUCUUUUGGACCUGUUCUACUUGUAAUUUAUGCUGUUGAAUCAACUUUUAGGAUAAGGGUUAAAUUAGAUGUAACACUUAUAUUCCUCCCAACAAUGUUUUAAGUCCAUAACCACGUCAUUACUAUAUAAUAAAACAUUUGCUUGUUCCAGACACCCCUGGAAAAAUGUAUUGUUCUGUAAACAGAUGUUGACCUGACCGCUACAUGAUGCAAAUUGAAACUUGCCACCUUUCUGCAAAAGGCUAUAACUUCCAGUUACCAAUUUCAACGUUCUAGAAGAUUGCUGUUAAAUUGAACAGUGCAAGUCAGAGGAAGGAGAAACCAUUACAAUGAUUUGUAUGAAAACUGGUCAGAUCUACACAGCAGAUCCCACAGGUCUCGGCAAAGGACCUUCAGAACAGUUUAGCUGUCACUGACGUUAUUGCUAACAGGUCCACCGCACAAUGUACCUUACAAUCUAUGGAAAAUGCAUAAAUGGUAAUACUGUAAAAACUUGUGCAAAAGGAGGCCUGUUUCACUUUGUAACACGAAGAGCUCAGAUCAACUAUAUUUUAACUGCAAUAAGCAGCAUUCUCAACCAUCAACAUCCUAAUGAUGGCCAUCUACUGUAUCACAUAUAACCAAGCAAUGGCUACUUAAAGAAAAACUGACCAUGGCAGGCAUAGUGAGUAUGACUGUGCAUGUGUAUGUAUGCAUGUGUCUGUAUUAUAACUGUACUCUUUAAACCACCAGUGUCUCAUUCUUGACUGUAACCAAAACAUUGAAAACUUUUUAGAGGCACUUCAGUCUUCAAAUUUAUAUAUUUUAGUUGUAUGUUAACAAUAAAUGUUAAUCCUGAAACAAAAUGCAAUGAAACGGUACUGGAAAAGACAAUUUUGUUUUACAUAAUUGGUACAAGUAUAAUCAGACUAGAGUGCUUUUUCAACAUGUAGUCAAAGCAAAUAGACGUUUGUUUUCUAUAUGAGUGCUUGAACCUUGAACCUAGUGUUAUAUCUUGACAAAUGAUAUUGAAUUAAAUCACAUGGACUCUG